AUUGAACGCUGGCGGCAUGCCUUACACAUGCAAGUCGAACGGUAACGCGGGGGCAACCCUGGCGACGAGUGGCGAACGGGUGAGUAAUACAUCGGAACGUGCCCAGACGUGGGGGAUAGCUCGGCGAAAGCCGGAUUAAUACCGCAUAAGCUCGGAGGAGGAAAGCGGGGGACCUUCGGGCCUGGAGCGUUUGGAGCGGCCGGUGGCAGAUUAGGUAGUUGGUGGGGUAAAGGCUUACCAAGCCUGCGAUCUGUAGCUGGUCUGAGAGGACGACCAGCCACACUGGGACUGAGACACGGCCCAGACUCCUACGGGAGGCAGCAGUGGGGAAUUUUGGACAAUGGGCGCAAGCCUGAUCCAGCAAUGCCGCGUGCAGGAUGAAGGCCUUCGGGUUGUAAACUGCUUUUGUACGGAACGAAACGGCUCUUUCUAAUACAGGGGGCUAAUGACGGUACCGUAAGAAUAAGCACCGGCUAACUACGUGCCAGCCGCCGCAGUAACAC
rnacentral:rRNA from 1 species